UCCUGAUUGAUUUUGGUGGCCAUCGAAUGGCGGACGGUUGACUAUCUCGUAUGUAAACUGCCAAGAAACGGGGGACAACAUUCGAAAACAGAUGCUAAUACCGCAUAACAUCGUUGGUCGCAUGAACAACGCUUAAAAUAUGGCUUCUCGCUAUCCCUUCUGGAUGGACCUGCGGUGCAUUAGCUUGUUGGUGGGGUAACGGCGUACCGAGGCGAAGAUGCAUAACCGAGUUGACAGACUGAUAGGGCACAAUGGGACUGACACACGGCCCAUACUCCUACGGGAGGCAGCAGUAGGGAAUCUUCCACAAUGGGCGCAAGCCUGAUGGAGCAGCACAGCGUGAGUGAAUAAGGGUUUCGGCUCGUAAAGCUCUGUUGUUAAAGAAGAACACGUAUGAGAGUAACUGUUCAUACGUUGACGGUAUUUAACCAAAAAGUCACGGCUAACUACGUGCCAUCAGCCGCGGUAAUACGUAGGUGGCAAGCGUUAUCCGGAUUUAUUGGGCGUAAAGAGAGCGCAGGCGGAUUUGUAAGUCUGAUGUGAAACCCUUCGGCUUAACCGGAUAAUUGCAUCGGAAACUGGAUAACUUGAGUGCAGAACA
rnacentral:rRNA from 2 species